CAAAAUGAGAUUCUAGCCAACUGCUUUAACUAGUGAUAAUAGUUUGUUGUUUCGGAUGUGAAUCCAACCGUAAGAUGCCUAGAGUCAGAACACGCAUAUUUUUUGCUCAAAGUGCGACUCAAUUUUAGGUCUUAGAUUCAGGCCAGAGAGGAUAUCAGCCAACAGUUUUAAAUAGCGAUAUUAUCUUUAGUUUCUGACGUGAAUGCGGAUCGUAAACGCUAAUUAACCGACUGUUCCCAAAAUAUGUGCUAACAGGAAGGAGUUGCCGAUCACACAAGGACUCAGUUACAGUGCUCACGGAUUUUAAUUGACUCAUCCCAUCUGGAUAUUGGGUUUGUUGUCGAGUCUCUUACCGUUAGGUUUAUUAAAAACCGCAACUCCACUCAACUUAUUGGUCUCAAUAUAAUUUAACUUUUUAGUCUCCUGAGCUUAUUAUUUCGAAAUAGAUAGUUAGAUCUAUUUCAGCCAA
rnacentral:lncRNA from 1 species